rnacentral:rRNA from 1 species
GAUCCGGAUAACCUCGGGAAACUGAGGCCAAUCCGGAAUACGAUUCCCAAGCUGGAACUGCUGGGAAUCCGAAACGCUCAGGCGCCAUAGGAUGUGGCUGCGGCCGAUUAGGUAGACGGUGGGGUAACGGCCCACCGUGCCAAUAAUCGGUACGGGUUGUGAGAGCAAGAGCCCGGAGACGGUAUCUGAGACAAGAUACCGGGCCCUACGGGGCGCAGCAGGCGCGAAACCUUUACACUGCACGCCAGUGCGAUAAGGGGACUCCGAGUGCGAGGGCAUAUAGUCCUCGCUUUUCACCACUGUAAGGAGGUGGUAGAAUAAGUGCUGGGCAAGACCGGUGCCAGCCGCCGCGGUAAUACCGGCAGCACGAGUGAUGACCGCUAUUAUUGGGCCUAAAGCGUCCGUAGCUGGCCGCGCAAGUCUAUCGGGAAAUCUGUGUGCCUAACACACAGGCGUCCGGUGGAAACUGCUCGGCUUGGGACCGGAAGACCAGAGGGGUACGUCUGGGGUAGGAGUGAAAUCCCGUAAUCCUGGACGGACCACCGGUGGCGAAAGCGCCUCUGGAAGACGGAUCCGACGGUGAGGGACGAAAGCUCGGGUCACGAACCGGAUUAGAUACCCGGGUAGUCCGAGCUGUAAACGAUGUCUGCUAGGUGUGACGCAAACUACGAGUUUGCGUUGUGCCAUAGGGAAGCCGUGAAGCAGACCGCCUGGGAAGUACGUCCGCAAGGAUGAAACUUAAAGGAAUUGG